GACGAACCGUGCGAACGUUGUUCGGAAUCACUGGGCUUAAAGGGCGCGUAGGCGGGCGCGUAAGUCAGGGGUGAAAUCCCACGGCCCAACCGUGGAAGUGCCUCUGAUACUGCGUGCCUGGAGGGAGGUAGGGGCGUGCGGAACUUCCGGUGGAGCGGUGAAAUGCGUAGAUAUCGGAAGGAACACCGAUGGCGAAAGCAGCGCGCUGGACCUCUUCUGACGCUGAGGCGCGAAAGCCAGGGGAGCGAACGGG
rnacentral:rRNA from 1 species